rnacentral:tRNA from 4 species
GGGGCUGUAGCUCAGCUGGGAGAGCGCUGCGUUCGCAAUGCAGAGGUCAGGGGUUCGAUCCCCCUCAGCUCCACCA